AGCUUUCUGAAUCUGCACAGAGAUUUUGUCAGACACCAAACCACUAGGGCUGAUCAGACUUUCAAGAUAAGUUAAGUU
rnacentral:pre_miRNA from 1 species